UUAAAAAGUUGUUUUCUAGGUGCUCUCGCCAAGCAGCUGUGAAAACCUUUUUUAGGCAUAGUUACCAAGCUCAAAACUCAUUAAACACUGCAUGUGGUACUGUCACUUUCCAUGCAAUCUGAAACUCACAUGCUUUCCUCUUAAACUGAGUGCAUGCUUCCUGUUUUGGAGCCUAAUGCAUGUGCAAUCAGGCAAUAAUACACCCCUCAUUUAUUAUUAUGCUUGUUUAUUUUUUCUAUAGGCUGCUCGUAUUUUGACAUUAUUUCAGCCUUAUACCUCCUGGUGCCUCACCUUUCCCCCUCCACCCUGACGCCAUGUUCUGCAAUUGCUGGAAUAAAUUGAAAGGUCUCUGUUAUCAUUUGGAACUAGUUUAGCUGUCUUUUUCACCUCUGCAAAAUAUAGGACCUUUCAUUUUCUGCCAAACUAUUUUUUUUAAUCAUUGAUCUCUUUUUCCAUCCCUCUCUCCCUCACCCACCCACACUGUUAUUUUAUUUCUGACCUUUCAUUUUGCUGACCCUGCUGGAAUAGAAUUGAAGUUCAGACUACGAUUUGGACAUACAGUACAUGAUCUGGUUGCAAAUUUUUAAACAGCCUGAAAGGCUUUCUUCUAAUAUUGUGCAAGAAGCCAGGAAAAGUUUGGCAAAAGUGGCAGUAUGAAGAAAAUGGCCAAAACACAGAAUCCAAAAGGAGGUCAUCCAAGGAAGUGGUAAUGCAACGCAGAGCUCAGUGAUCCAAGAGAAAAUUUCCCAGCAGGCCACACUUGACAAGCAGGUGUCACUCAAUCAUGCACGUUUUCACCUCCCUGAGAGGACAGAUGGUCCCAGCCUACUUAGCAAUUCCAUCCUCCGUUGGCAGCUCCCUCUCCAAUGCAGCGCCAUAAUAAAGAUGCUCUGAGAUUUGUGUUAAUCUGUGGUCUUUGGGGUAAACUGUAAACAAAGUGUGUAGAGUUAUCGUUUCUCAUUAUGAGCUGGACCUCUUAUCUUCUCCUCUGCCUAUAGCAGGUAGAUAUCUUUAAUAGCCUAUACCCCUGGACUCAGCUUUCAUGGAGAUUAGUUCCUAUCAUUUUAAGCACUGCAGAAUUACUUUGUCUGUAGAGGUUUGAUCUAAUCUGUCUGAAGCUUUUACUAUGAGGACAGUAUAAGACAGA